ncrna:unclassified sequences RT-3 RNA
AAUCGGCGUACAACACCGGGGACUUGUCCCCACCGUGGAGCCGAGGGAAACAAGCCCCAGUAACAGCGGCCCGGAAGGGUUGGAAAACUGAAAAAACAAGCGUCGGGUAGAGUUUGGUAGGCCGUAAGGCUCGAAGAAGUCAGGCCCG